AGAGCCCAGGACCCCAAAAGCCUGUUUUUCCGCUGUACAAGGCUGCGUGAUUUUUAGGGCUGGAAAGGUCUUGGGUAUUAACUCACUGACUGUCCUUACAAAGCAGCCAACACACCUAUGAAAAAGCAAGGCGGCGGCAAGCACAGCCUCUGCCUGAGGACAGCUGCUGAAUUGUAUGACAUGUGUUUACGUCUCGGUAAAGCUGUUUUUUUAUUAAAAAAAAAAAAAAAGGAAUGUGUCCGGACAAAGGCAGCUGUUCGGUUAUUCCAAGAGCUGGUGUUUAAAGAACAGCUUACAGUACUUAGCACAGAGCCUCCCACCAGUGUGCUGGGUGCAGUGUGCCCCCGAGGCGGAGAGUUGUGCCCAGUUAUCUGCUCAGCCCUGCGGGGAGUGAGGAAGCCUCUUAGGCUUCCCCCACCAUUAGGGACCAACCUCAUCCUUUCCUAGCUGUGUUAGGCAGGCUGGGACCACUCAUGUAGAGGGUGAUCUAAAGGCAGGCAGUGUGGUAGGAAGCUGGGGCUCACCAAGGCUGCCUAGGAGGAGCCUGUAAGUCACACCCUGCCCUAUAUCCCAGGGGCAGGAACAUCCCCCUUUACCCUAAGGGGGCCCCCCUGGUAUUCCAACUGUUCUAACUGCAGAGACAGGAUUUCUGAGGAACAACGCUGUGUCUGGAGGCACUGAGCCCCUCAGACCCAAGCUGUGCCCCUCCAGGGCCAUAGGAGGUUGGGUCCCCUUGGCCACACCAACUCCUGCGAUGCUUCCAGAGCUACUGAGAACCCCCCAGGCCUUCUCUUUCCCUACCUGCUUUCAUCUCUCAUAUAAGAUACUGAUUCAGGACACCUCUCCCUUUUCAUUAUAGUGCAUUUUCAACUCCCCACCCAGCUUUCCGUCUGUAUAAAUAUGAAUACCUUCCUGAGCCUUCUCCCACACGCAGUAACCUGUUCCAUGUAAGUGUGCUACCCCUUACACAGUCACACACACAGAGUGACACAGACACAAAAGGCAGCUUUACUUUCAUGUGGCUCAGAAAAAAAAAGAUACAAACACAAAGAGGGAAGGGUGGCAAGUGGGAAAUUGGGGCAAAAGCUAAGCAGGAAUUCUAUCUUCUUUGCAACUUUUCUGUAAAUUUUAAAUUUACUUCCUAGUUAAAAAUUACCAAAUUAACUUACAAGUCAGGUCCCCACCUCCAAGGGAGGGAAAAAGAAUACGGCAGGAGACAGGCAUCCUGUGCACACUGGCCACAGGCACUGGGGCUGGGGGUCGCAGAGCACAUGGAAGCCUUACCUGGCCCACAGGAAGUGUGUUGGGGUGUGGGAAGAGUGGAGCAUUCAGGUGACACCUGCUCCACCAGCUGCACUGACUCCUCCUAAGGCCCGGGAGGCUAGAUGACAGGCGAGCAUGGAAUGUGCCCCUUAAAUAAGACCCAACGUGCAAAGGUCUGUGCUUCCCAGCAGCAAUGAGGUGAUGGUUCUUAGCAUAAAGAUGCUUUACUUCCGAAGGGACUGAGGGAGGUAGACACGGGGAUGGAGUCCUAAAAGAAAAGCAAAGGGCACACUGCAGCUUCUCCACCCCCCGCAGGCCAGCCACACUUCUGGCUUCCGGGCUUCUGAUUCUUCACGACGAUGGCAGUGGCAGGUUCAGAGAGGACAUGAAGCUGGAACCACAGUGCUACUAAGUUCUAGGACCAGUUUCACACGAAAGGCUCGUUUUAGUGUCUCAAACUCCAAAGCAUGCUGAAGGGCAACACCACAACCAAAAGGGAAGCAAACAAGAUCAUUAGCAUGCUGCUCCAGCCCCUGUGGGCUCCUCAGGGUCAGCGAGUGCCUUGUGACUUUGAUACAAAGGGCACCAGCCACCAGCAUCUAAAUAGGGAAAAUAACUUCUGAACAUGCUUGGCCAACCUCAUUUCAGAUUUGGGAGUAAUCUCUCACCAUUAACAAUGUCUAGCUAGUCCCAGAAUCCCAGCACUUUGGGAGCCUGUGGAGGGAGGACUGCUUGAGACCAGGAGUUUGAGACCAGCCUGGACAAUGAAGUAAGAUCUGUCUCUACAUUUUUAUUAAAAAUUAGCAGAUUUCUAGGAGAAGCAGCCUGGCUACAGAGGUCUGAGAAUCUUGGAAAGUGGCAAGGUUUUUAGAGGUACAGAGACUUUGGGGUUUGGUUCCUGCUCAUCUCCUAAAGGUUCAAAGCCACUUCCACAAAAGACAAUAAAAGGCAGGAGAUCAAAAAACACAGGAGAAGAAUGAAAGCAUUUACUGUAUGCUUCUUCACUAAAAACGAUACAAAAAUAUCUUAAUGAGCCUGCUGUUUACAGAUUCCUCAAGUUCUUUUUCUACCAAAAGUUAAAUGUAAAGCCCCAUCGUGUCACCCUUAAUAGUUCAUUACUUCCGACAUCACACUAGGACUGUGGUCUCCCAGCAGAUGCCCAGGGAGUUCUGCUGCAGCUGAAGCACCACCUUCCACUCCUAGAGGCCGGGCGGGGGGUCCAAGCAAGGUACAAGAGCUCCACAGAGUCUACCUGCAUGGACGGUAGAUGGAGGGCUGGCCCACGGGUCACAGGUGGACAGUAGAUGGAGGGCCGCCCCACGGGUCACAGGAACCUUGGGCUUCCUGCCUUAAGCUAAUGCCUACACCUCUUUUCCCCAGCUGGCUCGGCUCUCUGCCCCUGGAGAGAACACCCAGGCACACUGCGGCCAGUGAGAGGGACUGGACUUCUGACAAGUCAGGUAACUCAAUCAAUCCCCUGUUCCUUUUCCUGCCUGGCUUUGCUGGAGGGGCACUUUCCA
rnacentral:lncRNA from 1 species